AUUGAACGCUGGCGGCAGGCCUAACACAUGCAAGUCGAGCGAGUGGCGGACGGGUGAGUAAUGUAUGGGAAACUGCCUGAUGGAGGGGGAUAACUACUGGAAACGGUAGCUAAUACCGCAUACCAUCAGAUGUGCCCAGAUGGGAUUAGCUAGUUGGUGGGGUAACGGCUCACCAAGGCGACGAUCCCUCGCUGGUCUGAGAGGAUGACCAGCCACACUGGAACUGAGACACGGGCCAGACUCCUACGGGAGGCAGCAGUGGGGAAUAUUGCACAAUGGGCGCAAGCCUGAUGCAGCCAUGCCGCGUGUAUGAAGAAGGCCUUCGGGUUGUAAAGUACUUUCAGCGGGGAGGCGUUACCCGCAGAAGAAGCACCGGCUAACUCCGUGCCAGCAGCCGCGGUAAUUC
rnacentral:rRNA from 1 species